AACGAACGCUGGCGGCAUGCCUAACACAUGCAAGUCGAACGAGACCUUCGGGUCUAGUGGCGCUCGGGUGCGUAACGCGUGGGAACCUGCCCUUAGGUUCGGAAUAACUCCCCGAAAGGGGUGCUAAUACCGGAUAAUGUCUUCGGACCAAAGAUUUAUCGCCUUUGGAUGGGCCCGCGUUGGAUUAGCUAGUUGGUAGGGUAAAAGCCUACCAAGGCGACGAUCCAUAGCUGGUCUGAGAGGAUGAUCAGCCACACUGGGACUGAGACACGGCCCAGACUCCUACGGGAAGCAGCAGUGGGGAAUAUUGGACAAUGGGCGAAAGCCUGAUCCAGCAAUGCCGCGUGAGUGAUGAAGGCCUUAGGGUUGUAAAGCUCUUUUACCCGGGAUGAUAAUGACAGUACCGGGAGAAUAAGCUCCGGCUAACUCCGUG
rnacentral:rRNA from 1 species